rnacentral:rRNA from 1 species
GAUGAACGCUGGCGGCGUGCCUAAUACAUGCAAGUCGAACGCUGGAAAUCUAGCUUGCUAGAUUGAAGGAGUGGCGAACGGGUGAGUAAUACAUAAGCAACCUACCCACGAAGACUGGGAUAAUCUCUGGAAACGGGGACUAAUACCGGAUAGGUAAUCGGAAGGCAUCUUCUGAUUAUUAAAGGUUAAAAACACUGGUGGAUGGGCUUAUGGCGCAUUAGUUAGUUGGUGAGGUAACGGCCCACCAAGACGAUGAUGCGUAGCCGGCCUGAGAGGGUGAACGGCCACAUUGGGACUGAGACACGGCCCAGACUACUACGGGAGGCAGCAGUAGGGAAUUUUCGGCAAUGGGGGAAACCCUGACCGAGCAACGCCGCGUGAGUGAUGACGGCCUUCGGGUUGUAAAGCUCUGUUGUAAGGGAAGAACGGUAGAUAGAGAAUAUCUAAAUGACGGUACCUUACCAGAAAGCCACGGCUAACUACGUG